AAUCGGUCCUUGUAAUGCCGCGGUUGUCUCUGUGGGGUUGAUGUCCUCGUCACCUUUCUUCGACUCCUGAUAUCACUCGUAUCUCUAACGUUAUUAUGAGUUAGUAAAGCUGUUUGUUUCCGAAAAAAGAGAAGUUGCCUGCACCGUGAUUUCGUGCUGAUCAUUCUAGGGAAUUGUACUGUGUUGUUUGUGUAGGAUAGUGAUGGGCUUGUUUGGGGAGCGUUUGGUUUUUAGUUUUGGGCCCAACUACUGUUCAAUUUGUUGUUGUUUUUUGUGCUUAGAUUCAUUUGCCUUGUUGUAUAUUUGUUUUGUGUUUUUUUUUCAUUUGUCUUUCUCGUGGACUUGAUAUACUCUUUUGUUUUCGCCA
rnacentral:lncRNA from 1 species